AUUGAACGCUGGCGGCAGGCUUAACACAUGCAAGUCGAGCGGUAGCACAGGGGAGCUUGCUCCCUGGGUGACGAGCGGCGGACGGGUGAGUAAUGUCUGGGAAACUGCCUGAUGGAGGGGGAUAACUACUGGAAACGGUAGCUAAUACCGCACAACGUCGCAAGACCAAAGAGGGGGACCUUCGGGCCUCUUGCCAUCAGAUGUGCCCAGAUGGGAUUAGCUAGUAGGUGGGGUAAUGGCUCACCUAGGCGACGAUCCCUAGCUGGUCUGAGAGGAUGACCAGCCACACUGGAACUGAGACACGGUCCAGACUCCUACGGGAGGCAGCAGUGGGGAAUAUUGCACAAUGGGCGCAAGCCUGAUGCAGCCAUGCCGCGUGUGUGAAGAAGGCCUUCGGGUUGUAAAGCACUUUCAGCGAGGAGGAAGGUGGUGAGCUUAAUACGUUCAUCAAUUGACGUUACUCGCAGAAGAAGCACCGGCUAACUCCGUG
rnacentral:rRNA from 1 species